UUUUAAAAAUGCGAAAAAUCCUGUGCAAAGCAAGUCUCUGUCUACAACUAACACUAAAAUGCGAAAGUGUGGGAGCAAACAGGAUUAAAUACCCUGGUAGUCCACACUGUAAACGUUGUACACUAGGCGUUAGGGGAUUUAAUCUUCUAGUGCCGAAACUAACGCGUUAAGUGUACCGCCUGGGGAGUAUGCUCGCAAGGGUGAAACUCAAAGGAAUUGACGGGGGCCCGCACAAGCGGUGGAGCAUGUGGUUCAAUUCGAUGAUACGCGAGGAACCUUACCAGGGCUUGACAUCUAUCUGACAGGGGUAGAGAUAUCCCGUUCCUUUUAGGACAGAUAGACAGGUGCUGCAUGGCUGUCGUCAGCUCGUGUUGUGAGAUGUUGGGUUAAGUCCCGCAACGAGCGCAACCCUUACUGCUAGUUGCCAUCUGGGUAAAGCCAGGGCACUUUAGCGGAACUGCCGGUGACAAACCGGAGGAAGGUGGGGAUGACGUCAAGUCCUCAUGGCCCUUAUGUCCUGGGCUACACACGUGCUACAAUGGGCUGUACAAAGGGUAGCAAUACCGCGAGGUGGAGCCAAUCCCAAAAAACAGUCCGUAGUUCAGAUUGGAGUCUGCAACUCGACUCCAUGAAGUUGGAAUCGCUAGUAAUCGCAGAUCAGCACGCUGCGGUGAAUACGUUCCCGGGCCUUGUACACACCGCCCGUCACACCACCCGAGUUGAGGACACCCGAAGUUAUUACCUUAACCGCAAGGAGAGGGGUACCUAAGGUGUGCUUGGUGAGGGGGGUGAAGUCGUAACAAGGUA
rnacentral:rRNA from 1 species